CGGACCAGUGAUGAUGACUGGUGGCGUAUGAGUCCUGGAUGAUGAAUAAUACGUGUCUGGAAGUCUGAGGUCUGG